GUUCACGACGUUCGCUUCGAUCGUUGGAGUCGCCGCGAUCUGGAUCGUCGGAAUCGGCGUUACCUGCAACUCGUGAUCGACCAGUAGCUACUGGAACAUCGGGAACUUCAUGGUGUGGUUGAAUCUCGUCGUGAUAGAUAUUGAGAACGGCUGGAAUUCCGUUCCUAGGCCUCCUAGUGAGAUUAGGAUGAGUUACGAG
rnacentral:lncRNA from 1 species